AGGAUUGACAGAUUGAGAGCUCUUUCUCGAUUCGGUGGGUGGUGGUGCAUGGCCGUUCUUAGUUGGUGGAGUGAUUUGUCUGGUUAAUUCCGAUAACGAACGAGACUCUGUCCUGCUAAAUAGUCGUACCGUCUUUUUUGCGGUGCGAAUUCUUCUUAGAGGGACUGGCGGCGUCUAGCCGCACGAGAUUGAGCAAUAACAGGCCUGUGAUGCCCA
rnacentral:rRNA from 2 species